UCCCACUGGGAUGGGCAAAGAGAUACCUCUUUGGUGGUGGUGUUCUUACAUCAGCCAGGACAGAGCAGAUGGCAGUCCUUUGUUCGUCCUAGCUUGAUGCCUGGCUUGGUGACCAAAACUGUUGCCUGGGACUCAUAA